UACGUAGGUGGCAAGCGUUGUCCGGAAUUAUUGGGCGUAAAGCGCGCGCAGGCGGUCCUUUAAGUCUGAUGUGAAAGCCCACGGCUCAACCGUGGAGGGUCAUUGGAAACUGGGGGACUUGAGUGCAGAAGAGGAAAGCGGAAUUCCACGUGUAGCGGUGAAAUGCGUAGAUAUGCGGAGGAACACCAGUGGCGAAGGCGGCCACCUGGACCGUCCCUGACGCUCAAACACGAAAGCUAGGGUAGCGAACGGG
rnacentral:rRNA from 1 species